UGAUCCAGCUCCUGCUGCGGAGCGGAGCAGAAACACGACUAGCUGUAGCUACACUGCAUGAACAGCACCAGGUUUUAGGCCCCAUGGCAAAAGCUACAUCGCAACCCAGUAAGCUGCUACUAAGGGACUCACUGAUCACAUGCACACUGAAUUGGAAUCUCUGCUUCUCAUGUCUGGCAGUUUACCACUGGGCUUCUAGAAUGGAAGCAGUUUUCUUCAGCUGGGUACUUGUUUCGUCCAGCCUGGCUGUUCGGCCCUGCAAAGCAGCCACCUUUUCUGCACUUCCCACAUUUGUUGGACAGUUAUUUGUCCUUGGGUAGAUGACAGUGAAGAUGAUGAUGAUGAUGACGAUGAUGAUGAGAAGUACAAGGCCACAUCCCACAGGCACACGGGUGAGAAAACUCCUGGGGGAGGGAACGUCGUCACCUAAAACAGAGGCGGUGAAAAUGUACCGAUUUUUAUACGUCAUCAGUCUCAGAUACUGAAAUGUUCCCUUAACGUCCUCUUUCUAUUACACUUUUCAUUGCAUUAACAUCCAUAAAACCUUAAUUUAUUCCCAAUAU